UCUCUUUAUUCAUUACUUCGGUAAACCCAUCCCUUGCUCUCUCUGAUUUUUCAAAGUUCUCUCUCCCUUUCAGCUUCCUCUUCCUUCUCCGCCAUUCUCUCUACACCGUAGCUUCAUCGUCUUCAUCCUUCUGUUAACUGGGUUCUGUCCAGCAAGUUGGUAGGACUCAGGUGGCUGGGACUGGCAAGAAGGAUUGUGUUAACCUCACUUUGGCUGAUGAAUCGUAUGUUUCUUUCUUUACACCCAACAAAUAGAAGAUGCCUUAACAUUUGCUCAGGAAGGCCAUCCUUUUCCUUGAAGACCAUGAUGCCAUUAGCACACCCUCUCAGAUGAGUAACCACACGAUAACAACCUCUGCGGCACAUAACUGAAGCCCCGAAGUUAACAAAAACAACACUCCUUGAGCCAACUCCUGAUCCGGAUGCUGCUGAAUUCUCGACACCAAUGGCAUUGGCAACAAAGUCUGCAUGGACCAAGGCUACAUGGCAGACCAAGAAUAAAGCAAGUUGAAGAUCUUAUGGAUCUUGACAAGGCAGGAAUUACAUUUUGGCAACAAGCUGUUAGUUUGAGAUUUACCAUUGAAAGCUUCUAUUCUAAUUAAACCUGCCUUGUAUUAAUCUGCAUUUGAUGUUUAAUUCUCUCUGGAACAAUGUUUUAGUUAUUGGCAGACAAAAUGUGUCACCUACUGUUGUAAUGAAUUGAAUGGUGAUAUCAUUCACCUU